CACGGGGGCGCACGGGGACGCGCAGGGGCGCGGAGGGACGGCGGUCUGGGCGCUUCUCCAGUUGCCUCGGAAUUCCCGGACCCCCGGCUCGUCAGCGACCCAGUCUGUGAUCCGUGCCCCUGGCCGCUCAGAAAUGCGCCUUCUUUCCUCCAGGCCCUGCUCCCGAAGCCCUGUCUGAGCUUUUAACUGUGGAGGCAGAAGCUCUGGGCUCCACCUCCACACGCUGCCUUUUACAGCCCAGUGGAUUUGUCACAAUACCUUUUGGCUUCAGUUACCUAACUGCCUAGAAAAGAAGGUGACUCCCACCUUCCUUCGAUAAAAGAAGAAUAAUGAGGAUCAAAUGGAAUGGCCACUGUCAUCACAGACAUCCUUCGUGGUAAUCUUGUCGGAAUCAAAGUGUGAGCAGGUUUGUUUAAGCUGAGAACUUGGGGAGGAAAAU